UACGGAAGGGGCAAGCGUUGUUCGGAAUCAUUGGGCGUAAAGGGCGCGUAGGUGGUUCUGUAUGUCUACCGUGAAAGCGUACGGCUCAACCGUAUUUUGUCGGUGGAAACUGCAGGACUUGAGGCUGGGAGGGGCUGGUGGAAUUCCCUGUGUAGCGGUGAAAUGCGUAGAGAUAGGGGAGAACACUCGUGGCGAAGGCGGCCAGCUAGACCAGUUCUGACACUGAGGCGCGACAGCGUGGGGAGCAAACAGG
rnacentral:rRNA from 1 species